UUGUGACCGUCAAAGCGAAAUGGAGUUCAUUGAGCAAACUGGAAGUUGGAAGGAGCUUUUCAAUGAAAAGUACCUUCUUGGCGCAGGAGCGGCUGUUUUGCUGAUGUUCUUCUACAGACGGUAUCUCGAAGGCGGUCAAUUCAGAAAGGAUGACGUAAAAAUGGACGGGAAAGUCGUGAUUAUAACAGGAGCGAACACAGGAAUUGGAAAGGAAACCGCGUUGGAUUUGGCGAGGAGAAAUGCCAAAAUCUACUUGGCGUGCAGAGAUCGCGAUCGUUGCGAAGCUGCGCGACAGGAAAUCAUUCAAGAAACAGGAAACACAAAGAUUUACAAUCGUCAUCUCGACUUGACAACUCUAAAAUCAGUGAGAGAAUUUGCUGAAAACUUCUGCAAGGAAGAAAAGCAUUUGGAUGUUCUCAUCAACAAUGCUGGAGUCUUUUUCAUUCCUCACUCAAUGACUCAAGAUGGCUGUGAAUCAACCUUGCAAAUCAACCAUUUAUCGCACUUUCUGCUGUCUCAUCUUCUGCUCGAUCACCUGAAGAAAGCUCCGCAAGGAAGAAUCGUGAACGUCUCGAGUUAUCUUUACACCAGAGCCAAGAUUGAUAAGAACGAUCUUCAUUUGCAAAAGUCUUUUGACAAAUCUUUGGCUUAUGGGAAUUCGAAACUCGCUCAAGUUCUCACAACUCAACGAUUUGCCAAGGAAUUGAAAGGAACUAAUGUGACGGUGUACAGUCUUCAUCCUGGAGUCAUUCAAACUGAAAUCGGAAGGAAUAUGAACAUUCCAAAGUUCGUCGAAUGGAUAUUUAAUCCUCUCUUCCGCAUUUUGAUUACAAAAUCUGUUAAAUCCGGCGCUCAGACGACAAUUCGAUGCGCUGUUGAUCCUGAACUGUCCAGAGUUUCUGGAAAAUACUUCAGGUGCGUUUUCUUCUCACCAUUUAAGCUUUUUUCUAAUAAUUUUCAAUGUAUAUUUUGCAGUGACUGUGAAGAAGUAAAAGAGAAACACAUGAAAGCUCAAGCGAAGGACGAAGAAAUCAGUGAUUUUAUCUGGAAAGAGAGUCUUCGUCUGACCAAGAUUCCCAGUGAUUUUGCAUAUGGCAAGAAAUAUCAAUAAUUUCUAUUAUCAGUUUGUAAGCACUGUACUUGAAUAAAGCAUCAGAGGCAAGCGGAAAGUGAGCGAUUGAGAUAUAAAUAUAUUGUGAAGUGCAUGAGAACGAGUAGGCAAAAGUUCAACCUUGCAAUUGGUCUCACAACAAUUAUCAAAGUUAAUGGCUUUUGUCUUCUCUCGCUGCCCAUGACAAAAAUAACUGGGCAAAAAGAGACCCGAAACCUGCUUAUUUGACGCCGUGACUCGACAUUUGCGGGCUGUUUUUGCCGGAAUACGCCAAAGUAGUGACAGAACGUGGUGAAAAAUGCUGAGAACAGUGGUCAGGAGGACUCUAAUGGUCCUUAAUGUGUUAUGGACAAUCGCUUUGGCGAUGCCGAGGAGAUUCCUCGCGCCAGUCAAAAAGUACACUCAAGGCGGGCAGUUCCGGAAGACUCAUUUGAUGCUGGAGGACAAAGUUGUCGUGAUCACUGGAGGAGAAUCAGCACAGGAGAUUGCAGUGAAUCUGGCGCGCAGAG